GGGUUCCGUUUCCGCGCCUACGCGCACCGAAUCGCCCGAAUGCUCCCGAACUUCACUGAACUUCACCGGAACCUUUCAAAUGGCUCUCCAACCAAAUGUACACCAUAACUUCAUGAUUUUAGAAGUCUGAUACCUUACACCUUUCGACAGAUCAAGCGAUUCGGCUGAUGAGGGAUCAGAUCAGCCGGGUUCGAAAACCUCUACAGUAUAAUCGGUUCGGCUGGGAUGAGCUGAAUUCUCGAAACAAGCCAGAAAGUGGGCAGAGAAAAGAGCCGAAUGGCCAGGACAACUCGAGAUCUGGUCGGCUUGAAGAGCCGAAAAUGACUUUCUAUUAAAUGAAACCAAGAAAUUACAGGGAGAUGGAUUUUUAGUCUACAACGGAGUGAUGCCCGAGGGGCAGACAGACUCCAGGACGCUAAGUUAUAGGAACUACUCCUAGGAAAACAGUAAAUGCGAGAAAGAAAGAUGUAGGAAAAUAAAAGUGGUCUUUUGUACGCAGGGGCGAAGACCCUUUUUCAAAGUAUCAUUGACCUAUUUAUAGAAUCGCCCUUGAUUCGGUUAUUACAUGAUCGGCCAUUACCUCCUAAAAUCUCGGACCACCUUCAGCCGAUCGAACCGCUCGCAACUGCUUGCGGUUGCUGUAACUUCCUAUUGGCACGACGGUUUUUUUCUUUACAUUUUCGGUGCUCCUGGUGCACGGUCAGAUUAAUGCCUUUGAAAGCGAUUCCUGUCUACAAUCUGUCUGCGCCUAAUUGGCUAUGGUUGUUAGGAUUAUAUGUAAGGUAUAGAAAAUAAACAGUAAAUAAGUGAAAGAUGGUGAAUGAUUCACCAUUUUUGUGAGAUAUUAGAAAGACAGUGAAUCAUUUACCAUUAUUUUUAUUAAGGCGGUGAAUUAUUUACCGUCGUGAUAAAAGGAGGUUUAAUUUUUCAGAUAUAAUUUUUUUUUUUGUAAAUAUCAAAAUUUUAGUAGAUUAUUUUGUAAA
rnacentral:lncRNA from 1 species